CCUACGGGGGGCAGCAGUGGGGAAUAUUGCGCAAUGGGCGAAAGCCUGACGCAGCGACGCCGCGUGAGGGAUGAAGGUCUUCGGAUCGUAAACCUCUGUCAGCAGGGAAGAACGGUCACUGUGCUAAUCAGCAGUGAAUUGACGGUACCUGCAAAGGAAGCACCGGCUAACUCCGUGCCAGCAGCCGCGGUAAUACGGAGGGUGCGAGCGUUAAUCGGACUUACUGGGCGUAAAGCGCUCGUAGGCGGUAUGUCAAGUCAAGGGUGAAAUCCCCGCGCUCAACGUGGGAACUGCCUUUGAAAAGGGCAAAGGGGAGUGUGUGAGAGGACAGGGAAAUUCCAGGUGAAGGGGUGAAAUCCGAAGAUAGUUGGAGGAACAGCAGUGGCGAAGGCGACUAUCUGGCACAUAACUGACGCUGAGGAGCGAAAGCGUGGGUAGCAAACAGGAUUAGAUACCCGGGUAGUC
rnacentral:rRNA from 1 species